rnacentral:rRNA from 1 species
UAAUACGAAGGGUGCAAGCGUUAUCCGGAUUCAUUGGGUUUAAAGGGUGCGUAGGCGGGGCGUUAAGUCAGUGGUGAAAUCCUACAGCUUAACUGUAGACUUGCCGUUGAUACUGGCGCUCUUGAGUGCGCUUGAAGUAGGCGGAAUGUGUCGUGUAGCGGUGAAAUGCUUAGAUAUGACACAGAACACCGAUUGCGAAGGCAGCUUACUAAGGCGAUACUGACGCUGAGGCACGAAAGCGUGGGGAUCAAACAGG